rnacentral:rRNA from 1 species
UUUCGGUUGGGGAUGGGCUCGCGGCCUAUCAGCUUGUUGGUGGGGUAAUGGCCUACCAAGGCGACGACGGGUAGCCGGCCUGAGAGGGCGACCGGCCACACUGGGACUGAGACACGGCCCAGACUCCUACGGGAGGCAGCAGUGGGGAAUAUUGCACAAUGGGGGAAACCCUGAUGCAGCGACGCCGCGUGAGGGAUGACGGCCUUCGGGUUGUAAACCUCUUUCAGCAGGGAAGAAGCCUCCUUUGGGGGUGACGGUACCUGCAGAAGAAGUACCGGCUAACUACGUGCCAGCAGCCGCGGUAAUACGUAGGGUACAAGCGUUGUCCGGAAUUAUUGGGCGUAAAGAGCUCGUAGGCGGUUCGUCGCGUCUGCUGUGGAAACGCAAGGCUCAACCUUGCGCGUGCAGCGGGUACGGGCGUAACUAGAGUGCAGUAGGGGAGUCUGGAAUUCCUGGUGUAGCGGUGAAAUGCGCAGAUAUCAGGAGGAACACCGGUGGCGAAGGCGGGACUCUGGGCUGUUACUGACGCUGAGGAGCGAAAGCUUGGGGAGCGAACAGGAUUAGAUACCCUGGUAGUCCAUGCCGUAAACGUUGGGCACUAGGUGUGGGGCUCAUUCCACGAGUUCCGUGCCGCAGCUAACGCAUUAA